ACCCUGAAGCCACAGCCUGCAUGGACAGCGUUGCGUGCCCAGAGAAAUCUGUGCCUUGUUCCACUGGAUCCUGCCAUCACAAUCCUCCCAGGUCACGUGACAUUUUCACUGCAGGGGCCCACGCAAGUGAGAAGCCCAAAGUUCACACUUAGCGUCACAUCGAAUCUACCCAUGAGGCCCCCUCCAGAAAAUUGAGAAGCCAAACCACCUUCAACCCCACUUCCUCAGAGGGGGAAAUGACUCACAGCAAAGAAACCUGAGCCUGUCACAGAUGUAAGACAGUCCGGAUUGACCAGGCUAUGUAAACCAGACCAGUACAGUGCUGGCAGGCACAUAAUGACCCAGGUGGGUACCCU